GGUUGUGGCCAAACCUCCUUGUCAAAGCCUGAUCUCUUCAGAUCUCAGAAGCUAAGCAGGGCUGGGCCUGGUUAGGACAGGAGAUUGCUGGGAACAUCAGGUCUCACAGUGG
rnacentral:rRNA from 1 species